rnacentral:rRNA from 1 species
GACGAACGCUGGCGGCGUGCUUAACACAUGCAAGUCGAACGGAAAGGCCCCUUUGGGGGUACUCGAGUGGCGAACGGGUGAGUAACACGUGAGUAACCUGCCCUUGACUUCGGGAUAACUUCAGGAAACUGGGGCUAAUACCGGAUAGGAAUCCUUGCUGCAUGGUGGGGGUUGGAAAGCUUCGGCGGUUUUGGAUGGACUCGCGGCUUAUCAGCUUGUUGGUGGGGUAGUGGCUUACCAAGGCUUUGACGGGUAGCCGGCCUGAGAGGGCGACCGGCCACAUUGGGACUGAGAUACGGCCCAGACUCCUACGGGAGGCAGCGGUGGAGAAUAUUGCACAAUGGGCGGAAGCCUGAUGCAGCAACGCCGCGUGCGGGAUGACGGCCUUCGGGUUGUAAACCGCUUUCAGCAGGGGCGAAGCUUGUGGUGACGGUACCUGCAGAAGAAGCACCGGCUAACUACGUG